rnacentral:lncRNA from 1 species
AAAGAAGAGAAAAUCCGCCACCGGUUAAGGUGAACAUAUCAAGUAUAGACUCCACUAAAAGGGAAUAAUAGGCUUUACAACUACCGGCUACUUGGUAGAAGACCAUGGAAGAGAAAACUUGUCACUGGUUAAAGUGAACAUAUCAAGGAUAGACUCUCUGGGGAAACAAAAUAGGAAUUACAACUACCUUUUUACUGGGUAGAAUACCAAAGAUAAGAAUAUCUGUCACUUGUUAAAGUGAAC